CCUACGGGAGGCUGCAGUGGGGAAUAUUGCACAAUGGGGGAAACCCUGAUGCAGCGACGCCGCGUGAGUGAAGAAGUAUUUCGGUAUGUAAAGCUCUAUCAGCAGGGAAGAAAAUGACGGUACCUGAUUAAGAAGCCCCGGCUAACUACGUGCCAGCAGCCGCGGUAAUACGUAGGGGGCAAGCGUUAUCCGGAUUUACUGGGUGUAAGGGGAGUGUAGACGGCAGCACAAGUCUGGAGGGAAAUGCCGGGGCUUAACCCCGGAACUGCUUUGGAAACUGUGCAGCUAGAGUGCAGGAGAGGUAAGUGGAAUUCCUAGUGUAGCGGUGAAAUGCGUAGAUAUUAGGAGGAACACCAGUGGCGAAGGCGGCUUACUGGACUGUAACUGACGUUGAGGCUCGAAAGCGUGGGGAGCAAACAGGAUUAGAUACCCUUGUAGUA
rnacentral:rRNA from 1 species